CAACCCUCAGGCCCCCAGUGCCUGGCGUUGGGGAUCGGCGCGGCGGCCCUCUCGGGGGCUCGCUGCCGGCCCCGAAAUUCAGUGGCGGUCUCGCUGUAGCCCUCCUCCGCGUAGUAGCACAACCUCGCGGCCUGGAGCUCGGCGGUGGCCAUGCCGUAAAACACCCCACUUCUGAA
rnacentral:misc_RNA from 2 species